rnacentral:lncRNA from 1 species
GGUUGCCAUGGGAACUUGUUGACUGUGAGCUAUGUGGUUGGGAUUUUUCUGCUGUUCUCUGAAGUCUCCCUGAAGAUUUCUAACAACCCAGUUAGUGCGGGUACCACUGCCAAAAACCCUUGUGGCACUCUGCUGUUCUUGCAAGCUGUUGCUGUUGAUAAUUGCUACUGAUGUUACUAAUCGGCAUGCUCGUGGUGAUGCAACAAAUACUACAGCUACCUUACAUUCAGACCCCUUAGUACUGAUGCUGUUCCUGCUGGUUCCCGUAUUAGUGAUGUAACAGUAUAAUCAUCAUCAUUAGCAGCAGCAAAAAAAUAGUAGGGCUCAGUUGUUCAGAGCCCGAUUAGUGAUAAUCCUGGGUUAAUUCUUAAUAAGACCUAUAGAGUUAAUCCUCGAUUAGCGCUAAUCCAGCUUUGAACAACCCGGCCUAGUAGCAGAAAAAACAACACUUCGAUAAGUUGGUGGCUAUAAAUGUGCUUUCAUUUUCUUUCAUUACAAGCAUCACUGGCCAACUAUACCUUGCCACUGAGGCUCUAAAGUUGGUCAGUCCCUUGGCCUUACAGGUUUCAAUGUUAAAGUGUGGUUCAUAAAUUGUAAAUCUGGUAUUUUCUGGUUCAUUGUCAAUAUAAAGCUUUCUCUUCUUUUUUUAAA